UACAGAGGUCUCAAGCGUUUGUUCGGAUUCAUUGGGCGUAAAGGGUGCGUAGGUGGCAUGGUAAGUCGGAUGUGAAAUCCCCGGGGGCUCAACCCCCGGAACUGCAUUCGAUACUGCUGAGCUAGAGUACUGGGAGAGGAGAUUGGAAUUUACGGUGUAGCAGUGAAAUGCGUAGAUAUCGUAAGGAAGACCAGUGGCGAAGGCGGAUCUCUGGACAGUUACUGACACUGAGGCACGAAGGCCAGGGGAGCAAACGGGG
rnacentral:rRNA from 1 species